rnacentral:rRNA from 1 species
AACGUAGGAGACAAACGUUAUCCGGAGUUACUGGGCGUAAAGGGCGUGUAGGUGGUUUCGUAAGUCUGGCGUGAAAUAUCUCGGCUUAACCGAGGCAGGUCGUCGGAUACUGCGGAACUGGAGGACGGUAGAGGCGUGUGGAAUUCCGGGUGUAGUGGUGAAAUGCGUAGAUAUCGAGAGGAACACCUGCGGCGAAGGCGGGUUGCUGGGCUGACACUGACGCUGAAGCGCGAAAGCCAGGGGAGCGAACGGG